rnacentral:rRNA from 1 species
UCGAGAAUCUUCCGCAAUGGGCGAAAGCCUGACGGAGCGACGUCGCGUGAUGGAUGAAGUGCUUAGGUACGUAAACAUCUUUUAUAGGGGAAGAAGUAAUUGACAUUACCCUAUGAAUAAGGGGCUCCUAACUCUGUGCCAGCAGGAGCGGUAAUACAGAGGCCCCAAGCGUUACCCGGAUUUAUUGGGCGUAAAGGGUGUGUAGGUGGUUGUAUUAGUCGUUUGUGAAAUCCCAGGGCUUAACUCUGGA